UGGAUGCAGGCUGUGCCAACUGGGAUGAUAACACUACAAAAAUAUUCAUGGACCUUUGCAUUGAUGAGAAGAAUAAGCUCAACUACAACAAAAAGGGCCUAACUAAGCUAGGUUGGCACAACCUGUACACAAAUUUUAAACAAUAGACGGGCAAGAAAUAUUCCUGCAAACAGCUUCAGAACAAAUUUAAUGCCUUUAAGAGGCAGUACAAGGAUUGGAGAAAACUGAAGGACAAGAGUGGUACCGGGUGGAACAACAGUACCCGCACCAUCGAUUGCGAUGAUGAGUGGUGGACAUCCCGAAUUGAGGAGAAUGAGGCAAACAAACAUUUCCGUGGCAAGGCAUUUCCAUUCUAUGAUGAGUUAACCACACUUUUCGGGACAACGGACAAAGAAGGCAGUCCAAUGUUGUGUGUUGGUGGAAUUGGAGAUAGAACACCAAGUUCUAGAAGUGAAGGCAACCCUAACACUGCGGCAGAUGAAAAUGUUGCCUAGUUGGAGGACAAUGUUGGACGAUCUAGUGUGGGUUGUGUGUUGCAAAGGUCAGGAAAGGAGCAUGUUGUUGACAACCCACCACCCAAGAGAACUAAGAGCAUGGAGUACUAUGUCAAGCGCAUAUCCGAGAGCACGAUGCAAAGGACUAUGAAUGAAAGAAAUCUAAUCAGCCGUGAGGAAGAGGAGGUUAUGGAAAUGCUGCACCUUGUAGAACAAGAUGGUGUACCGAAUGGGUUAGAGUUGUACUUCAUAGCUACUGAGCUGUUUAGAUCGCCAGCCCGACGUGCAUCUUAUAGGAGCAUUACCGCUGCAGAGAACCGAAUUGCAUGGCUCCGAUGGACUUGGGAUAAUGUUAAGAGGAAGUAGUACCGGUCCAUGAUUAGAAAGUCUUUUGGAUCUACCUAGGAAUGUAUGUCCGUGUACUGUGACCAUGGCAUGGUGUGGCAUCGUGUUUCUAAUGUGAAUUAUGUUAUGUUAGACCUGGAUUAUUGAUGCUACUAAUCCAUAUAAAUUUGUGUCGUUAUUGCU